UACGAGGGGGGCGAGCGUUGUUCGGAAUUAUUGGGCGUAAAGGGUGCGUAGGCGGCCUGACAAGUCUGAUGUGAAAUCCCUGGGCUCAACCCAGGGCCUGCACCGGAAACUGUCGGGCUUGAGUAUGGGAGAGGUGAGUGGAAUUUCCGGUGUAGCGGUGAAAUGCGUAGAUAUCGGAAGGAACACCUGUGGCGAAAGCGGCUCACUGGACCAUUACUGACGCUGAGACGCGAAAGCGUGGGGAGCAAACAGG
rnacentral:rRNA from 1 species